ensembl:snRNA U6 U6 spliceosomal RNA
GUGCUCGCUUUAGCAGCACAUACACUAAAACCGGAACGAUACAGAGAAGAUUAGCAUGGCCCAUGUGCAAGGAUGACAUGCAAAUUCGUGAAGCAUUCCAUAUUUUU